UUACCCUACGGGAGGCAGCAGUGAGGAAUAUUGGUCAAUGGGCGAGAGCCUGAACCAGCCAAGUCGCGUGAAGGAUGACGGCCCUACGGGUUGUAAACUUCUUUUGUCAGGGAGCAAUUGAGUCCACGUGUGGGCUUAGCGAGAGUACCUGAAGAAAAAGCAUCGGCUAACUCCGUGCCAGCAGCCGCGGUAAUACGGAGGAUGCGAGCGGUAUCCGGAUUUAUUGGGUUUAAAGGGAGCGUAGGCGGAAUAUCAAGUCAGCGGUAAAAAUUGGGGUCUAAACCCCGGCGU
rnacentral:rRNA from 1 species